rnacentral:rRNA from 1 species
AAGCCCCGACGAGAAGGAUGGCGCGGCGGUGUGCGUCGAAGGGCAGGUCGCGAGACCGCCUGGAGCCGCCGUCGGUGCAGAUCUUGGUGGUAGUAGCAAAUACUCAAAUGAGAACUUUGAGGACUGAAGUGGGGAAAGGUUCCAUGUGAACAGCAGUUGGACAUGGGUGAGUCGAUCCUAAGACAUAGGGAAGUUCC